UACAGAGGUCUCAAGCGUUGUUCGGAUUCAUUGGGCGUAAAGGGUGUGUAGGUGGCGCGCUAAGUCGGGUGUGAAAUUUUGGAGCUUAACUCCGAAACUGCAUUCGAUACUGGCGUGCUUGAGGACUGGAGAGGAGACUGGAAUUCAUGGUGUAGCAGUGAAAUGCGUAGAGAUCAUGAGGAAGACCAGUGGCGAAGGCGGGUCUCUGGACAGUUCCUGACACUGAGGCACGAAAGCUAGGGGAGCAAACAGG
rnacentral:rRNA from 1 species